AAAUUAUGCAGGGGCACAGAGGUGGUGCAACAAAGAAGAAACAACUAGGCGGCACUCACCAAAAAGUGGAUGUUCUUUAUUCCAGAUGCCAUAAACAUUCACCGAUACAGGCAUGGGGCGGA